rnacentral:misc_RNA from 1 species
UGAUUACGUACUUUUUUCACCGGUAAAAUGUAAACAUUGCCAACCUUGACCCUUUGACAGUUAAAGACAGCAGGGACGAAAAAUUGUUUUUUCAUUGCUUUUAGACAAUUAAACAAAAAUAUGGAAACGCCUGUAGAGACUGAGUUUGUGACAUCAGACUACGGGAAGAACUGGGUCAAGAUAUUGGUUGUGAAAAAAGAAACAGAUAAACAUUAUGUUAAAGAGCUUGAGGUCUGUACAGCGUUGACUCUGAAUAACCACAGGGACUACAUAUUUGAGGAUAAUGCUGAUAUUAUUGCUACAGACUCGCAAAAAAACACGGUCCACGUUCUUGCCAAACAGCAUGGGGUAAAAAAUAUUGAGAAGUUUGCUUUGUUGCUUAGCAACCAUUUCCUACAGAAAUAUCAGCAUGUGGUUGCAACUAGAAUUAAUGUAGAGGAGUAUCCAUGGAAACGCAUUGAAGUUAAUGGUGAGAAACAUGUACAUGCAUUCCAGUUUGUUCGAGAUUGUACCAGAGUGUGUGAAGUGACCCAGAAACGUGGAGAACAGCCAGUUGUGUGUGCCGGGAUCAGAGACUUGCGUGUAUUGAAAACAACCCAGUCGGCAUUUAAGGAUUUUGUAAAUGACGAGUUUCGUACCUUGCCAGAUACAGAUGAUCGUAUAUUGUCGACAGUCGUUACAGCAAACUGGUGGUAUAACACAUCACAGGGGUUCUGUUUCAACAAAGCAUGGGAAGCAGUGAAGGCCACUAUACUGGAGAAGUUUGCAGGUCCAGCGGAUACUGGUGUCUUCUCUGCGUCUGUUCAGAACACAUUGUACAUAUCGGCUAGAUCAGCGAUCACUAGGAUACCACAGAUAGAUAAAGUGGAAAUAACUCUGCCAAACAAGCAUUAUUUCGAUGUAGAUUACUCCAGAUUUCCUAAGCUAGAGUUCAGUGGUUGCAACAACACACAGGUUUAUAUGGCUGUGGACAAACCGUCUGGAAAUAUUCAUGCUGUAGUUCAAAGGAGCAAACUUUCCAAACUUUAAACUGGUAGACAGGGUGAAUUUAAUUGGCCGGAAAUCUAACACAUCACAGGGUACCAGAAUUUUCCGGGGUAUGGAUGUACAUAAUAGCGUAGAUGACCUACUCUCAGAAAAAUACUGAACUGUUUCCCUCAGAGAAGUCGGGGACCAACCAAUAUUGUGGAAUAUUGUUCCUUUAUCCUUUCAGUUUCACUGUUAUAUUUUUCUAGAUAGUGCUUACUUAUGCUAAUAUUAUUGUUAAAUCUACUUCACAUUUUUCAGAAUGUUUACUGAAAUAUAACAGUAGAUUAUAUCUUAUAUACAAACUGUUUUCUGUAAAACUUUCGGUGUACACAGUUUGGAUACAAAAAUGCAUACUCCAAUCAGAAUGAAAAAAGAAAUCUGAAAUUUCAUGAGACUAUUAUACUUUUUCAUCAAAAACAUUAGUAAUGCCACAUGGCAUGUAAUGUUUUAUGGGUAAAUUUAGUAUAAGCCAAAAAAAAAACAGUAUAAUUACAGUGAUGGUUUUCUUUGUAAAGAAAAUAAAUCUUUAUCAUUUUAAAACUUCUUUUGUGGCUGUGCCACAAGUGUAAAUGCAUCAAGUUUUGUAUUUAUCAGUGCCGAUAGUUCAGGCUUAGGACCACAAAAUUUUCAGUUAGCCGUAGCUUUGUUGUAUCUGAACACAAAAAUUUUGCAGAGCUGAUUCUUGUAAAAGGAAGCUCAUUUAUGCGAAGUGACAUGACAGUAUGUGCUAAUGUAAAAAGGCAAGAUAAUGAGAAAUAUAGCAGUUUAAAGGCCAAGUCUACAAUUAAGAAUAAAUACAUGUCCGAAUGUUUGCUCAAUGAAAGAUAUCUCAAUUUUUUGUAUCACGUGAAUGGAAUACCUCAUUAUUAAAAUUACAAAGUAUAAAUUUAUCUUUAAAAAAAAAUCAUAACUUUGAACUGAACUAUUAAAGUUUAAUCAUGCAAAAUUGGCAGGUGGGUGGGGAUAUGGAUUUUUGCUGGAAACUGAAGGGAAUUAUAGUGAUAUCUAUGUACUUAUGCUAUCAAGAAGAGCUAUUUUGCUAUUAUUGUAUUCAGAAUAUUUUCGUACGAUAUUAUUCAACUAGAAAUAAUCUAGAAUCUCCCACUCUGAAGUCAUUUAAUUUCAUGUGCACAAAAUUUCUCUCUUUUUUUACCAUAACAUCUAUUUCACAGAGAAUUGAAUUUUUUGGAUUUCAAUUUUUGAAGAAAAAAUUAAUGCAAAUCUUGGUGAAUGGACACAUGAGGCGAAACUUUUCCCCCAUGAAAAUUAACAAUUUCACAGUAUUUAAAAAAUGUAUGAAUGUUUGUUUAACAUCAUAUUUUUAUUUACUUUUUCAAUUAUUUUAUUCUUUCAAAUAUUGACUCCUAGUAUAUCCAAGAAAUUUAUCCAAGGUAAAUAACAGAAAAAAAUAUUUAAAGAGAGAUAUUGUAAUCCUAUCAUGCUGGACCCGAUUGAUUCUGCCUUUACAACCAUUGUAGAUCUUGAUCAGCCUGCACAUCUAUGCAGUCUGAUCAAGAUCUGCAUUUGCCGUUCAGUCAGUAUUGUUUUGGUAAGCACCCCUUUUAACAGUCACUGAGUCAGUGGUACUGUCUAAAUUGAAAGGUGGACAAGUUUAUUACAGAAAUUGAGCAAGGUAAUGGUUAAAUGAUAAUGUUGACAACUGUUCCAAUGAUUUUAUUUGAUUAUGUAGAAAUGAAAGUUUGUGGUUUUUGGCCAGAAUGGCAACUUUGUAAGGAUAGUGAAUUUGUUGCCUUCAGUUUUUUUCAAGAUAGGUGUAUUCAUUGGGGUUUUAGUUUGUCGAUUAUUUUGACUAUGAAAUCCAAGAGAAUUAGUUCCUCACAAUUAUUAACCUUUUACACUGCUAAAUUUCCAUAAUGGACUGGUCCAUCAUUCAAUUUGGGCAAUACCUAUUAUUAUUUGAAAAGGUGUCCACUUAAAAUUUACUGACUGAAUAGUGAACAGUGCAGAUCAAGAUCAGCCUGUACGGACGUGCAGGCUGAUCAUGUCCUGUACUGGUCGCAAAGGCAUAUGGUUUGUUCGCCAGCAGGCUUAAGGUUAAGGAUUUCACAGCAUUAGAGAAAACAUAUCACAGUCAUAGUAAAGAUUUAUAUUUUAUUGUUAUCAAUGAAUAUAUAGUGGAACUUUGUUCACUUGACCUCAAUGGUACCAGCAGAAUUUGUUGCAAGUUAUCAGGUAGUUUGAGCCAUCAAACAAAAUGCAUUAUAUAGGGAUUUUGCAUUAACCUGACAAUGAGUUCAAGUGAGGGUUGGUAUUCGAAUUAUCCAAGUUCAAGCUAACAAAGUUUGACUGUACUAUUCAGUUCUAUAUAUUUUUUUAGUUUUUCACAUGUAUAUGUUAACCUGUUCUCAAUUAAAAAUUCCGGCAUUGUAAAAAUAAUGCUAGUUUUUCUGUGUGUUUAUCCAUGUUGAAAAAACAAUAAUGUGUUUAUUAAGGCGGAAUGCAAUUUCCUUUUUUUAUAUAUUUGGAAAAAAAAAAUGUAUAGAAUUUAUAUUUUACAUUUUGCAAAAUAUUUCAUUUUUGUUUUUGCAAUUUCAUAGAAAUUAUAUUUUACAUUUUGCAUAGAAUGAAGUGUUCUUAAAAAUAAUAAAUGAUGUGAAAGUGUGACUUGUGUCACAUAGCAGCUGUUUAUAAACUUAAAAAAAUUGUGCAAUAAGUUAAAGAAACAUAUGUUUGCGCUUUGUAGAUUUGUCACGAAUUUCAAAACACUGUAUUUGGAAGCAGUCUGUGAUCUUUACGCUGCCAGUUGAGAGGUCUGAGGUUUGAUCUCUACUCAGAGCUUAGGUAAAUGAGCUGCAACAUGAGAAGACCAAUAUAGUGCAUUUGCGACCAGCAUGAAUCCAGACUGCGCAGUCUGGUCUGGAUCCAUGCUGGUCGUUAAUGCACUAUGUUGGUUUUCUCAUGGUGUGGCUCAAAUGUUCUUUGUAACAAUUUGCCCCAAGUCAUUCAUUCUCCACCAGAACAAUGUCACUUACGUAGCCUAACUAAAUUAUCUUAGCUUGAUUUUGAUAAAAUAUUGACGCUUAUUUGUAUCACUCUCGAGUCAGCUUCUUGGAAAAAGUGGUACUGGUUCUAUAUGAAAAGGUGCUGUUGUGACCUCGGCGGGGUACAAACCCAUGAUCCACAGUGGGGACAGCUGCCAUACUUUAACAGGGUCAGCUACUUUUAAAAAGCAAUUCUGGUAACAUGUCGGUUUCAUUGCUAAAAUACUGCCAAUGCUACCGAAAAAGCAGGUUUAAUAUUUGGUAAACUUGUUUGUUUUGUUUUUGUUAAAUUUCAAGCGGAAUGCUGCAUUACUAGAGAAACUCUUGAUUAUUCUUUGGUGCUACAGAUUGUGUUUGUUGUGUUAGCAUUAGAUGUUAUGUACAGUUUGUCAAACUUGUAAUAGGUUGUUGUAACUACAUGAGCCAUGCCAUGAGAAAACCAACAUAGUGGGUUUGCGACCAGCAUGGAUCCAGACCAGCCUGCGCAUCCGCUGGUCGCAAACCCACUAUGUUGGUUUUCUCAUGGCACGGCUCACAUGUUUAUUAUUCUUUAGUAACCUUUACAUUCCUCAUAAUAUUACCCUAGUCUAGAAUUCUUACAGUAUUUAAUUUUGUUGCUACCAGACCAGAUUUAAAGGGACUUCUCUCACAAUUUAAAUCAUUUAAUGUUUAGAAAGUAGUUCCAUUAUGUUUAAUGUACAUUGAAGACAUGCAUGCUCCUUUAAUCAGAAGAAGUAUCUAAGUAUACCCAAGGAAAUUUUGUGACAUAGGUUACCGUAAUAGAUUUUGAAUUUGUCUGUAAAGAUACAAAUUUCAUGAAAAUGGUUUAUUCUUCUUAUAAUAUGUAAAGAUUAUUUGUAAAGAUACAAAUUUCAUGAAAAUGGCUUAUUCUUCUUAUAAUAUGUAAAGAUUAUUUUGUUUGUAACCUACUGUGGCCUUUAAAAAGAAAUACCGGUAGUCUUAAAUUAUAGUAUGUUGUUAAAUCUAAAUAAAAGAAUCAGGUGUGAUCAUUCUGACUACCUUUACAAGCUAUCUUCCCACCUACUGGCCGGUCACCGGGACUACCUUUACAAGUUAUCUUCCCACCUACUGGCCAGUCACCGGGACUACCUUUACAAGCUAUCUUCCCACCUACUGGCCAGUCACCGGGACUACCUUUACAAGUUAUUUUCCCACCUGCAAGCCGGGUUCCGGCUGGUGAAAUUACUGUUUGAUCCAUUGAAUCCAUAACAGUUUUUUUUGUGUGUGUGAAUUGUUUCUUUAUUUUGCAGGAUAUAAACUAUAGAUCAGCCUUAAGUUCUCCAAGGACAGUAGUAGGAAUAUUUGAUGCUGAUUUCUUGACCAAAAAUGUAUUUUUUCUCAUUUUAAUUGCAAAAUCACAAUUUCUUAAUAUGAAUUUUUAGAUUAUUUUUUUUCCAUCGGAAGAUUGCUUUGAUAUUAACUUAGAUAUCUUAAAAGUUUUAAAUCAGUUCAUUCACAGAUAAAGUUAAAAUUGAUUUCUUUUUGAAUUUUGGUGUCAAAAAAAAAGACUGAAAUUUACAUUUGGAAAAUACCAGUUCUCUGUCGAAAUCGUAUUUUUACGACAACUUUAAAACUAAAAAUUUUGCAAAACGAUGUAUAAAAUUUAAGGGUAUUGUCUUAUAUUCAAAGAGAAAUGUGGAAAAAAAACUUGUUACUGAAAAGGUGGACCAAACAGUAAAUACUUUUAUGAUAUAUUGUUGUUGACUUCACAUUUUGAUAUAGUUACUAAACAGUUAUAAUAAAGAAAAAGAAAUUAAAA